rnacentral:sRNA from 1 species
CCCUAGCCCUGAUAGUAGUGGAAAUCCUUUUGCUUUUUUCUUUAAAAAGCAAAAGAUUGUAACGGAUAGCAGGAAAUAGC